rnacentral:rRNA from 1 species
AUUGAACGCUGGCGGGAGGCAUAACACAUGCAAGUCGAACGGAGCGGCGGACGGGUGAGUACUGCCUAGGAAUCUGCCUGUUCGUGGGGGAUAACGUCCGGAAACGGGCGCUAAUACCGCAUACUCUCAGAUGAGCCUAGGUCGGAUUAGCUAGUUGGUGGGGUAAAGGCAUACCAAGGCGACGAUCCGUAACUGGUCUGAGAGGAUGAUCAGUCACACUGGAACUGAGACACGGUCCAGACUCCUACGGGAGGCAGCAGUGGGGAAUAUUGGACAAUGGGCGAAAGCCUGAUCCAGCCAUGCCGCGUGUAUGAAGAAGGCCUUCGGGUUGUAAAGUACUUUCAGUCGGGAGGCGUUACCGACAGAAGAAGCACCGGCUAACUCCGUGCCAGCAGCCGCGGUAAUAC